rnacentral:tRNA from 1 species
GCGGGUGUAGCUCAGUGGUAGAGCGCCACCUUGCCAAGGUGGAUGUCGAGGGUUCAAGUCCCCUCACCCGCUCCA